AUUGAACGCUGGCGGCAGGCUUAACACAUGCAAGUCGAGCGGGGGGAGGUAGCUUGCUACCGGACCUAGCGGCGGACGGGUGAGUAAUGCUUAGGAAUCUGCCUAUUAGUGGGGGACAACAUCUCGAAAGGGAUGCUAAUACCGCAUACGUCCUACGGGAGAAAGCAGGGGAUCUUCGGACCUUGCGCUAAUAGAGGAGCCUAAGUCGGAUUAGCUAGUUGGUGGGGUAAAGGCCUACCAAGGCGGCGAUCUGUAGCGGGUCGGAAAGGAUGAUACGCCACACUGGGACUGAGACACGGCCCAGACUCCUACGGGAGGCAGCAGUGGGGAAUAUUGGACAAUGGGGGGAAACCUGAUCCAGCCAUGCCGCGUGUGUGAAGAAGGCCUUAUGGUUGUAAAGCACUUUAAGCGAGGAGGAGGCUACUUUAGUUAAUACCUAGAGAUAGUGGACGUUACUCGCAGAAUAAGCACCGGCUAACUCUGUGCCAGCCGCCGCCGUAA
rnacentral:rRNA from 1 species